ACCCAGCCGUCGGUCGACCGUUUGUCCAUCCUCUCCACAGUAGUCUACAUACGUACAUACGUACUCUCUCGGAAUAUACUCAUACUUACACGCCACACAUGGACUCGACGUGAUUGUGGUCCUUCACGCUAAACUCUGAAGCCUCCUCCUUCGUUCGUCAGCUCCCACUUUGCCGAAAGCGCGAUCUUGUAACAAGGGCCACCGUCUUGUUCUUAUCCGUCUUCUCUAUAUACACUAUCUAUUCUCUCGUUCCCAUGUGGAAGUGGACUAUUCUAUCGCAAACACGCACCACACAUCCUCACAUUCAUACAGGCUCUUUCUGCUGCAACAAGAACCUUGAUGCAAGGUCUGCAAUGCUAGAUUCGCCUACGAAGAGGCAAAUAUAGAGAAAGAGAGAAGAAACAACGGAGAGAAAGAGAGAGAAAGAGAGAGAGAAAGAGAGAAAAAAAAGGCAUGGAGCCGCCCAUGGUGUCGCCAACCCAAGUCAAGUGCAUUAUUUCUGAGCAAAGUAGCCACGCAGCCAGUCAGUUAGCCAAGUAGCUAGCUGGUAAUCAGCUGCUUUUGCUCAUGUAAGGAAGAGUGCAUGCACCCAACACGGCUCUAUAACCGGCAAAGUGUCUAUAGAUCCAUCUACCAGCAGAGGAGGUCUUUUGAGUCUACAGUUCCUUGAGGAGCAGGAGGCGGAGGAGGGUUAUGUAGGCCAACGGAUUUCUCAAAUCCAAGACAUCUCGUCGAGGGAAAAGAAAGUGCGAGCAAAACUGUGGAAUAAGCCAGAGCAAGGUGAGCUCACAACAACCCAUCUCGUUGAAUUCCAACAUACGCACCCCUGACUACGUAAACCCCGAUAUCCGAGCCCCAAUGGUCGCUUCUUCGUUGGAGUUCAUGAGUAAUGCACAAAAUUCCGAACGAAUACUUAUCCCGGCAUUUAAUGUCCACGGAAAUUCUAAGGAACUAUCAUCAGGCUUUCUUGAAACAAGGACCACCCACCUGGAUUGCAUGCAUGAUAAUCCAAGGCAAGUGCAAAAAUGCCCGGAUUCCGAGUCUCACCCCGGACGGGAGAAAUGGCCCCCUAAAUUUGUCCUGAGCUCAACGAAAUGUGAGAAAAUUGUGUUAGCUUAUGGCUCAGAAAGUUGCAUUUAGCUCCCAUGGAAUGCCAGGGCCAAUUGUCGUUGAAAUUUCUCCUGAAAUCUAUCAUCACAUCCUUCGCAAGAACGUCGAAACUCAGAUCUGACCUCUUUGGCCCCAUCAUGCCGAAGAAACUGACCUUAGGCAGCCCAAAAUGAAUGAAGUGAAGUCCGACCGAGUCGUUGACUCCAUCCAUGUACUGGAUUCAACAUCUCAGGCCGACAUAAUUAGCCGAUUUGUAAUCUCUAGUGAUCUACACACAAUGUGGUGUUCUUAAUUGGCCCAUUCCGCCAGUCGCCUCCUGGACUAUCCGAGAGCAUAGUAGACACUCCAUCAAUGUGUAGAAAUCAGACCGGGAUGCAAAAUUUCCAGACAAUCUCCAAACUGAUUCCCGACCCCUCUGAGGUCGGCCCAUCGGUUCUCUUGCAUCGCAGGCAGGCCAAAGUCGGACAAAUCCUUGAAGUUCAUAAAAUUUACCACCGAACCCCCGUAUUUGUGUCCCAAUGUGGACAUCAAAAUGAUUCGUAACUACUCAAGUAAGCAAGUAGUAUUUCAUCGCUCAAGGGAUUGACGUAAGUUCUCAUAAUGGCCUAGUACAUAUUUGCGCCUUCUCACGUGCGUUGGACACAAGUCGUAACAUUUGGAGUCGUGUAUAUAGUAAUACAAUAUUGCACACCCCGGCAAAGCCGAAAGUACGAAUUGCAUUUUCUUGAAAGCCAUCGCUGAGCUCUGUUCCCUAAAAGUUCCCUCUACAGGAUGCUUGACAAGCAUUGUCUACUUUUGUUAACAAUGCUUUUCAACCUGAAAAGCUAUUGCAAACAAAUUCUCAAAUUGCGUUCCACUCCGGAGAUGAGCUCUAUUUGUUUUAAAAGGCGACCGACAGUAAUACAAAAAUGUCAAGCCUUCUGAGUGUGCAUUCCCUCCAUUAGCUUUGAACUUUGUGUUGUUAACAGUUUCAGUCAUCAUAAGGGGGCGGUGACAUCGAAAUACUUAAGUGAGCAAUCAAUUCUUAGAACUUUGGAUGGGUCAACAUACAAACGUAAUCAAUCGAUGAAUCAAGAUCAAAUCAUUUCCGUUGAGUGCUGAGCUUGAUUUGUCACCUAUGGCUGAGAAGCCUCAAAGUCCAUAGAAGCCUCAGAGCCGAUUAGUUGACUGACUAAACUGAUUCUUCAGUUGACCGGGAACUUUGCUUGUCAUUUGUUCAGCUGUUUCUUUUUCUAAGUAAGUAUGGAAGGUACAAGAACUUUAAACCCAACGGAAAAGUAUGCACGAAUAUUUCAACAAUGAUGAGUCCCAAGCUAGAAAUUCGUUCGAAGUUAAGAGAGUCAUUAGGCUGGUCAAAUAUCCAAUGCAUUGAAUUGAUGAACCUGAUAGUUCGUGGAAAAAUGUCAUUAGUAAAUACCAGGUUGGAGUAAGGGAUCAAUGUUUUCGUUAUGAGAUCUUAGAAACAUGUUAUGUAUGAUUCAUACUACUGAAUACUAAUUCAUGAACUGAAUUAGCUCUUUUCCACCUUUGAGUUUCAGAUUUUUUUGCUCAAACGGGUCCUAGCAAUACAAUAGAUAUGGCUGGAACAUAGAUUUGCCACGUUCAGUCUGGUUGGGGGGACCAAGGACAUUUUAGAUGUUUCCAUGCAAUGCACGCACGCACACACACGCACACGUACCCCAGGAUUUUCGAAAUGAGUGGAAGUGCAGUUCUCUGCACUUGUGUUAACAGUCAUAGACGAUAAAAUUGUUGAAUCUGGCGUCGAAAGGAAAUCAGAAAAGAGACAAGUCAAGGGAUUACUCAGCAUACUGCCUACCCUUUUGCUCACUUCCAUUGUCGUAGCUUUUGAAAAUCAACUUUUCAAUGGCCAAGGAGGGUCUCCUCUACCGAAAGUCAAACCUUUUUUUGUAACGAAAUAACGAUUUCCCAGGUUUAAGUGUCGAUCUGUCUCGACUUAUUAGGCUAGAAUCACUGUCUUUGAUAACAUGUUAUCACAUAUAAAUAAUUUUAGCAUUCACGUACUUACCUUUAUUGAGAGUAUAAAUUUCGAGCUUGAGUAAAACCCGAGUGCUUCCAAUCUCUUGAAAGCCAUGCCAACGGGUUCCUUUUCGCUCAAAAUAACAAUCAGCAAGCGAUUCAACUGAAGAAUACUGCCAAUGGAUGCUGGCUGCAUUUAUUCAUCAUAAAAAUGUGCAAAUGUGUGUCAGUACAGGACUUAUCUCUGCCUCUCUCGCAGCUCUCGAAACAUUUAUCUUCUUCUCGUCAUGAAUGAUGAUGAUUUUGUUGGACAAUUUCCCUGGAAAAGCAAUGACGCCAGCCUUCAGCAAAUAAAUUCGCCUACAACACAAAAAAAGUUGUGACCAAGGAUCACAGACAUUCAUUCCAUUCAUCUAAGAAACUAGCUAGCUAGCUAGUUAGCUCUCUAGCCAGCAAGCAUAGGAUAGCAAAUGAAUGAAGGCCAGAUCCUUGAGCAACACAAUCUUGUCUCCUUGGCCGGAAGUGCCGGUCUUCUUGGCCCUCUUACAAUGUACGUUGUCCUUAGGAGAGAGUGCCAAUCUAAAGGUCAAGGAUUGCUAUUGAGGGAUCAACAACCCGCUCAACUGUCGUCACCCUAAUUUGGAACCACUCGACGAGGUCAAAAAGUCCAUUUCAACAAUUAAUCACCUCGUCUCACUUCAUAAACAAGGUUGACAAAUGAAGUGAUCUCUCGCGGCGAGUUCAACACGUCGACCCUCUUGGCAAUACUGAAUGAAGUAUGCAUUCAAUACAUUGGGCAAAACGUACUGUACAGAACUCGAACGAACUGGGGGGGAAGGAAGGGACAGACUGAAUGCUGACGAGAAUGUUUAGGCCAAUACAUAUGCCGAGACAUUGUCAGCGAGACCACAAAUCAAUCAAUAUUGAAUUCAUUUCCAAUACUGAGGUCGAGCCCUCGAUGCACUUUUGAGCUUCUGGCUUCGAUUAAUACAUAUAAACGGAAUGGUAAACAGUCAGUCAUCGCUCAUUCUGGCUCAUAGGACCUCGAGCCUCUACCGAUGUUGCAAAUUCAACUGCGGCGCCAACUAAUAACUCGGCGUGAAAUUCCCGAUCCCAGAUUAAGAUCAUACCCCAAUCUUUCGUGAUCACCAUCAUCUAACGACUCUAUUCAAAGCUAUUUGCUUCUAGCAGCACUGCGAGGGAGGAAAUCAAUGUUCUCAAUUCGUAUUGAUGUACCCUAAUUACGAAUAAAGUAGCACUUGAUCCAUUUCGGGGAGGGGCGGCAAUGGUGUCUUAUCAACACCCUUUAUCUUCCGGCCGAGACAGGAUCGAGCCAGGAUCGAGCCAGGAUCAAGUCAUGAAACCGGAGCUUCUUGCGAUUCGAGUCCAAAAGUGAUGAUGGCAAGUCGAUUCUCGAGUUGCAAAUAAUGAUAACGUUCUGCUUUGAGUGGCUCAUUACAUGAAUAUUUGCAAGAUUCACAGCUGAUAAAGAGAACGCGUGUUUCUCCUAUCUGUGAGCGUGUACAGUGUGCCAAAUGUUUCGCUACAUACAUACAUACAUACAUGCAUACAUGCAUGCAUGUAGAAACUGGUCACAACAUUGAUUCACGACUCCAAACUUAAAAUAGCGGAUGUGCACCAACAAAGAACAGGAACCAAAUUGAUGUUAACCAAAGAUGGCAGACAGAUUUGGUGUAGUAGAUUGAUCGGUGGGAUCUGUACUUUACACCAUCGUUUGGUUCUCUUCAACAGCUGCCUCUUGAAAUGGUCCAUUCAGCUAGGGCCUUUCCCGACCCCCCCCCCCUCUCCUGCCCUUUGACAGAAAGUUAGGACACCAUACAAGUGUGUCAAAAACCUACGAAAUAAGCGUGUGGUUGCACAAUUGGCUCAUUUUCAGGUUUAAUGUUUCGUUUUCCUCUCAUUCGAACGUGAAGAGGGGUCUUUGGCAAGACUAGAAGAGAUCGAUGAACACGUAUGUACGGUAAAACGAGGCAAACCGUGUUCUGUUUAUUGAGGUGGAAUCAUUAGAAGCCAGCAGGCUGUGUCUUGUGGGCGCCAGGGGUAUUCGUUACCAAAGAUUAGGCUGACCACAAAUGAUCAAAAAAAUCGCAUUGAUCCAUCAAUCCCACUAACAUUAGUUCAAACCAUAAACAGAUAGAUCGGGUCCACUAAACCAAUACGAAUAUCGAAUGCUUGGGAUCUUCCGUUUUCCUCCAAUCAAAAAAAAGACUUCCUCAGAUUUGGUUAGGGUUGGUCCUAUACAUCUGGUCAAUCUGUUGGAUUAAUUUUGGUUCAUGCUUUACGUUGGUUAAAGCUGGCCGAUAAUUUCUACUCUGUUCGGGUAUAGGGCCCAAAAGCAGUCAUUUUAAAGCCAGCUAGCUCUUCCUCUGUCUUCCCAUGUCAUUGAAAACAGGAUCUCUCAACAUUGCAAUGUUUCCCAGACAUAGGCAGAGCUGAACUUCUUGAUUACAAUUGCGAGCGACCCCCACUUGGUUAGUUUUCACCCUUAUGCUUUUCCGUUUGGCGGUGAUUAGUGAUUACCUCCGUGCUUUUUAUUAGCCCCACGUGGUGUCUUAGUGCCACGGUCUGCUUGUUCGGCUCUGUCUUUCCCCAGGCAGAUUACCUAUUCUGCCAUAGCUCAAGAACAUUAAAAUACACCUAAUGAACAACACAUGGCUAGCGAAAGAGGGAUUGUCAAGAUGGACCUGGUCGGAAAAAUGUAUGUACCACUAAAAACGAGAAUGGAAUGGCUAGGAGGAUGACUGGCGUAACCACUGGUACGGGCUAGUUACCCCUUCCCUUCUGUUCUCUUCUUUGCCUUUAAGCCCUGUCUGCAGAUCUUCAGAGUGGAUUUAAAGAGUUCAAGAACAUACUCUUUGGACAUUGCUCAAAAUCCGUGUCCGGUUAUGCGCGUAAAAGCAUUGCUAGAGACAACGAAGUGAUUAGAAUCAGGAUUUGCGAGUUUUUCCACCCGGGUUCUCGGCUUCGUCGCCUGACAUCGAUUCUCGCCUGUCAAGUGUACGUACCCUAUGCCGUCGUCGUGCGGGGCCAUGGAGAAGAAAAAUGGUCAGCAUUUAAUGCGGCGAUUCCCCGGAGCCUUGUAGUCAGUGAGAACAACAACGCAUCCUCGUCUUCGCUUUCUUGCGAGCAAGUGAAGGGUUUGAAACGUUCGAAUUUUCCCUCGUUUCUCCGUUUCUCAUUGUCACAUUCCGGGGCGAUCAGCUCAUUAAGUUGAAACUAGAGCGUGUUUGUGUACUUCAGCAAUUCCACUUCAACGUUGAUUGUCUUGGCUGCCGAUCGCAUGGGAUGAAGCCGAGGUAGCCGAUGUAGCUUAUUACAUGGGUUGCGUCAAGGGUGACCACAAGAAGAUCGUGGGUCCGAGCGUUAGUGAGGUUCAUCGAAGACCCAGAGCAGGAGGGGCAAAUAUAUUCCAUCCUGAUUUGGCCAAAGCACUGGGAAUGAGUGCGACAAUUAAGCAAGCAUUUUCACAACUUAGGCACCGGGUGCUGCUCGCUCUUAAAGAUCGGUAGUUCGUCUGCGGUUUCAGGUCCAGAAAAUGCGCCGUGCAUCAAUUCUCGGACGUAAGGUCAGGCACCUCGAGAAAAAAAAAACGAUACGAACGCGGGAAGAAGAAACGACAAGACAUUUUCGAAUGCUUUCAAGCCUCCCUUUGUUUUAUGGAGAAAUGGGAGGCAGAAGUAAGAGAAUGAAGACAUUCACCACGAGGCAGUUCUCAAACGCCCCCAAAAUGAUGUGAGAACGAACGAGAAAGAACAGCGAGCUCGGAAAACUUGGCACGCCGAUAAUGGAGCCAAAUGUCCGGGUCAAAAUGACGAAUUUCUUGACCUAUCCGGGCCUCUUUGUCUAUUGUUCCCCUCUUUUUCAAAUCCAACCCAUUUAGGACCCAGUACACUGACCCUUUACUUCAAGUGGGCAUAAAUUCACAAAAUUCACAGUCUGCCACUGGACAUUACUCUAGCCUUUCAUACUCCUUUUCUCACUCGUAUGCCAAGAAAUGAAUGCGAAACGAAAUCAGAAGAGAAGAGAGGAAUGCCAGUCAGCUCUGAUUCGAAUCUGGAUGCCAUGAUGUCCGGAUGGCGGCCGAACAGCUUCAACAACAAAUGAUGUCCAGUCGAUCCUCAGAAGACUCGCCGUGUGACUCAGCUGACUGAACAUGGACGGAUCGACGGAUCGACGGAUUGAUGCACACCAACCAGCCACAGCCGCAAUUUGCCGUGAAAAUAUGGUGUUCCAGGGGGAAAAUACUCGAAAACUUCGAAUAUGAGACUUUAAUUUGUUUUCAAAGCAGAGCUAUUUGAAAAAUCUCUCGUCUUGGGCCCAUAGCUCAAGACUCUGGAAGAAAACUAUUUUCUCCAUUGACAUAUUGGAUCUCUGAUCGAGAAUCUGGUUGUCACAACAAGGGCAAGUUUAAAUUUAACUUCGCUAUUCCAUGUUUGUUUUUGCUGUCAUGUGUUGGAGAAUGAAAAUAGAUUAAUUGCUGCGAA